rnacentral:rRNA from 1 species
GAUGAACGCUGGCGGCGUGCCUAAUACAUGCAAGUCGAGCGAACAGACGAGGAGCUUGCUCCUCUGACGUUAGCGGCGGACGGGUGAGUAACACGUGGAUAACCUACCUAUAAGACUGGGAUAACUUCGGGAAACCGGAGCUAAUACCGGAUAACAUGUUGAACCGCAUGGUUCAACAGUGAAAGACGGUCUUGCUGUCACUUAUAGAUGGAUCCGCGCCGCAUUAGCUAGUUGGUAAGGUAACGGCUUACCAAGGCAACGAUGCGUAGCCGACCUGAGAGGGUGAUCGGCCACACUGGAACUGAGACACGGUCCAGACUCCUACGGGAGGCAGCAGUAGGGAAUCUUCCGCAAUGGGCGAAAGCCUGACGGAGCAACGCCGCGUGAGUGAAGAAGGUCUUCGGAUCGUAAAACUCUGUUAUUAGGGAAGAACAAAUGUGUGAGUAACUAUGCACGUCUUGACGGUACCUAAUCAGAAAGCCACGGCUAACUACGUG